rnacentral:rRNA from 1 species
UACAGAGGGUGCGAGCGUUAAUCGGAAUUACUGGGCGUAUAGCGCACGUAGUCGGCUUUGCAAGUCGGGUGUGAAAUCCCCGGGCUCAACCUGGGAACUGCAUCCGAGACUGCAUUGCUAGAGUAUGGGAGAGGGAAGCGGAAUUUCUGGUGUAGCAGUGAAAUGCGUAGAUAUCAGAAGGAACAUCAGUGGCGAAGGCGGCUUCCUGGACCAAUACUGACGAUCAGGUGCGAAAGCGUGGGGAGCAAACAGG